CCACAGCUAGAGGAGCAUGAUAAGGACCUGAGUUCAAAUUCUGCAUCUGACACAUAUUAUCUUUGCAUCACAUUUUCUGAAGGAUAUUGACAAACUAUAGAACAUUCAGAAGAAGAUGAUCAGAAUCAACGAAUCUAAGAAUUGGAAGAAGGGUUGGAAACCAGCAUUUGGUCCAGCAUUACUUCCACUACAGUGUACUUCUUGAUGCUUUUAAAUACACCUGGGACAUAAUUAGCAGCUGUGUGGGCAGCUAUGGAUUCUCUUAACCUCAGGUGUGCAGCUAA